UUUUUAUAGAUUAAAAGACUAGCACCCAGAAAAAUAGAUGAAGAUAGAUUUAUUCGAGUAACUGUAAAGGUUAAAUUGGCUUUAUUCAAUGAUGCAUUAAUUGGGCAGCAUCCCAUCUGGCAAAUAGAAAGGAGCUAUAAAGAGCUAUAGAAAAGGGAAGAUUUUUAAAGGCUGAGAAGGGGCAGAAAAAAUGAAACUAUUAGCAAAGAAUGCAUUGUUUUGACCAAGGUUGCUCUUCUAAGAGGAAAGGACGGGGUCUACUGGGUGGAUUACCUCAUUAGGGCUAACCAGGAAAUUCCGGGCUGACUGGUUAAGAUUUCAUUCCUGAAGAAGUUUGAAACUGCUAUUAGGUUAGAUAUUAAGUCAGGGUUAGCUGAUGUGUGGCUUAGCACAAAUGAUUCCAUUUUGGUCCUGUUGCCUCUUUUUUUUAACACUGCCGAGAUACAUCACUGUGAAAUUUCAGAACACUAGGAAUGAAGAGAAAAUCGUUCAGGUUUUCAGAGGAGUAAAAAUAGGUUGGGAAUCAAAAUGGCUUAAGAAUUUUCAACACCAUCACUAUAAAUGAGAAGACAAUGGAAUGAUGCUUUGAAAAUUCAUAAGAAAAAUGAUUCUGGACAUAUAUAAGCUAAUAAUUAAAUACGUAAGUAGAAAAAAGACAUUUUUCAGACAUAUGAGCUCUCAAAAAUUUUAUCUCCCUAUGCACCUUUUCUCAAGAAGCUACUGGAGAUUUUUCUCCACCAAAAGGAAGAAGUAAAUGAAGAGAGAGGAAGAUAUGGGAUGCAGAAAAUAGAAGACACAAUGCAGGAAAGGAUAAAUGAAAUUCCUAGAGGUAUGGUGGAGGGAGAUCCUAGGAUGACAGUUUUGAAGCAAACAGAGAGAGCAACUAGUCAAGAUUGUUGCAGAAUUGUUUCAUUGGAAGAGUUGGUUCAAAUAACCUCAGCUGCCACUAUGGAACAUAGAAGUUGGUGAAUUUUUUCAUCUCUUCUGUGACAACCUUUAGCAAAAUCAGGACCGUUGGGAGUGCAGGACUGUGAUCACUAAGAGAAAGGAAGCAAACGAGUUGAGCUCUACAAUCACUCCAGCUCCCUACCAGGAGGUAAAUUUUGAACUGUGACACAGGAAAGAGGAACCCAAGUAAACCAAUGUUGUUCCACUAAAUUCAGGAGUAGAAAUUGGAAUUCAGGUAGGUUGAAAUAAUUGGAAUUUGCGUAGCAGAAUAAUGGAGAGGAGGAAGCUAUGCAGAAAAAGAACUCCAGAAAUCUUCAUGGGGGACUUUUGAAUCUUUGUCUGACUACUAAUCAACACAUUUGAAAGAUGAGUUCCAUGAGACCUGAGAAAGAAUAAACUGCUUGUGAGUCAUCAGUUGAAAAUUUUCCAGAACUCCCUGUCACUGCCCUACAGGAACACACUUGUAGAUGAACUUGGGUUUAUUACUUAUUGCAGCGAGGGAGAAUGAACCCCAGGGCAUCUUAGUAAGAGGGUGUUAGAAAGAACAUAUUAUAGGAUUUUGGCUUUACUUGGGUAACUUGGAAAAGGGUCUAAGGACGUGGGGGUUUGCUCUAGAUUGAAUGCUGUCAGAAAAUGGGCAGUUCUGUGACUGGGUAUCAAAAUGAAUCUUAUAUAGAAGGAGGGCAGACUAGAGCAAAUAUAAAGCUGUAAUUGGUAAAACAAGUAGCAGUCACUCAUAUUAUCAGGGAGGAAAGCAUAUUUAUAUUUUGUAGAUUACACAGUAAUUUUAUUUUUGUUUGUGCUUAGACAAAAUUUUAAAAUGGCCUUGUUUUAUCUCAGUUCAUCAUGAUCUGAAAUUGGUGUUCUGUGAAAUUGUUUAUGUCCAACAGAGAAUAAUAGGGCUUAGCUGUGAGUGUCAGGCCAGCUUCUAGCAGCACUGAGGCCUGGCUAUAAGUGUCAGACCAGUUCCCAGAUGUCAAGGACUUUUUAAAAAAAAUUUCUAACACAUAAGGUUGAGUCAUUUUCAAAAUUCUACCAGUGAAAGUGGAGAGACCUCACUUGACACUUCAAGCAAUCGGUAGACACUAGAAAGGUAAACUAGCCCAAGAGUAAAGGCUAGUCUAGACUCACCCCAGCAAAGCUUAAAAACAAACCUUAAAAUCAAGAUCCAAAAAAAUCAAAUAAAACUCCUUAAAAUCAAAAUCCAAAAACAUUCAUUUAAUUGACUAGCAAAACAAACUGAAGGGCAAUUUAUGAACCAUAGCCAGGAAGAAAUCUGAGAUGAUAGAAUUAGUUGACAAGGGUUUUAAAAUAGUUAUUUAAAAUAAUGUAACUAUGAUCUACUUUUUCACUGUAUGAGCUGAGAGGGCUUAGAAUCGAUGUCUCCUCAGUAGCAACCAACACACCUAGGACUCCGAUCUUGGUAUCUAAUAUCAUCCUCCAGUAAAAGAAACCUGGGCUCCUUGAAGAAAUAGCUGAUUCUAGGACUGGGGCAGGAAAUACACAGUAGGAGCCAGUAGCAUCUUGUAAUGCCAGAAAGUAAAGAAAUCUCAAAAGCAAAAGGAUGGAAGCAUGACAAAAAAACAUAGAAACCAAUACAAAGAGCCCCUAAUGGCCAAAACUGGAAUAAUAUGAACAAUAAAAUUAAUAAAGUAGUAUUGAAUUAUAAUGCAAACUAUACAAUAAAUAUUUGAGUCUGUAGUGAUAUAAAUCAAUCAUUGAAUAAAGAAAUAAAUGAGGGAAAAGAGAGAAAUCUAUACAGAAGGACUCCAAAUAAUUUAUGUUGAUACUCUCUACUCCAAGAGGUGGAGUUUAAUUCUCCUCUCCUUUGAGUGUUGGCUGCACUUAUUUUUUGAAAGAAUAGUGUAUGGAAAGGGAGGGGUAACUUUGCUGUGGAGAAACCUGGCUUCACUACUUUUCUUAGGUGAUUAAGGCUAAUAUCACUAGUGAUAUGUUGUGUGAUAUCAUGUAGCCCUGAUAUGAUAUGAUGAAAAAAACAGUUCACCUCUGUGGUAUUCUUCCCUAAAACUCAUAGCCUUAGUCUAGUAGUAAGAAUACCAUCAAACAAAUCCCAAUUGAGGGACAUUCUACAAAAUAUCUCACUAAUACUUCUCAUAAAUGUCAAAGUGAUCAAAAACAAGGAAACUGAGAAACAGCUAAGAGGAGCCAGUGGAGACUUGAUGACUAAAAGUAAUGUGAUGUGCUGCAUGGGAUCUUGGAGCAGAAAAAGGACAUCAGUAAAACCUAAGGAAUACUGAAUAAAGUAAGGACUUGAGUUAAUAAUAAUAUAUCAAUAUUGGCUCAUUUGUUGUGAUAUAUACUAGUGCAAGUUGUUAACAAGAGGGGAAACUGGAUGUGGGAUUUUCUUAUAUGUGAACUUGCUGUACUGUCUUCACAUCUUUAUAGUAAAUCUAAAACUAUCCUAAAAAUGUUUAUUAAAAAAUUUACAGAGCGCUAGUGACAAAUAGAAUAAUGUUACAUGAUCCAAUAUAUGUAUAUUAGGAGUCCAAGAAAGAGAAGGCAGAAAGGCAAAAGCAGAAAAAUUAUUUGAGGAUAAAUGGAUAAAAUUUUGUAAAUUUGAUUUAAAAACUGUAAAUUUAUAGAACCACUGAGUACAAUUAAACACAAGAGGAUAAAUACCAAGAAAACCAAGCUCAAUGCAUCAUAAUCAAAUUGCUAAAAUAAGUGGGGGAAAUAAAACUGAAAGCAGAACAAAAAAGACAUUACAUGUAGAUGAAUAAAAAGAAGAAUUAUUACAGGCUUCUUGUCAGAAAUUAUGAAAGCCAGAAGACAGUUUGCCAAAAUUUAUGAAGUGCUAAACAAACAAAACUGUCAACCUAAAUGUCUACAUCCAGUGGAAAUAUAUUUUGGAGAUGAAGAAAUACAGAGAUUUUCAAAAACAAAAAGGCAAAACCAGAGAGAAAUUUUCACAAGCAGUUCUGAAGUAUAACAAAUGUUAAAGGAAGUUCUUCAGAUUGCAGGAAAAUGACAUAUACAAUGUAGAAAUUUGGAUCUAUACAAAGUAAAGGGCCUAAAGGAUGAAUAUGUGUGUGUUUUGAAGAUUUUUUUUCAUUAAUUAGUGGGAAAAAAUAGAAGAUACAAAUUACCAAUAUCAGGAAUGAAAGGGGGAAUGUCACUAUCUACCCCAUAGUCAUUCAAAAAAUAAUGUACACUUCAAACAACUUUAUGACAAUACAUUUGCAACUUAGAUGAAAUGGACAAUUAUCUUGAAAGACACAAAACUCAAAUUUAAUAAAGAAUUGUAAUAGGUCUACAUUGUGAGCCUACAUUGUAUACAAAUAUACAUUCAUAUAUACUGAAAAAAAAAGCUGAACAAUUUACUUUGUUUCUUAAAGUUGCACUGACCUUACUUUCUCAUUUGUACUACAUAAAUACCACUAGUUCUAUUUUCCAUACAUCCUCCAUCAAAAUUUUGUUAUUAAAAUAAGAAAAAACUCACAAUAUUUUAACCAUGUUACAAAAUAUUUGGCAUAAUGAUCUGAGAUCAUCCAGCACCCUUCCUGCUUUGCCAAGAUCAUGAAAAGAGAAGAAAUCAUUUUGGUCAACAUUCCUUAAAAAGAAACAGCCGUGCUGAAAAAUAAUUCCUGGAGUGAAGUUAUGUAUGUAAACUUGCUCUUGAGGCACUAGUCUUUGGGGCACUCAGAUUUCAGGAGUCUAGCUUGAAGGCUAGCACUUUUGUGGGUUUUUUUUGGUUUUGGCAUAAAAUACAAAACAAAGGCUUCAGUCAGAAAAAGCUGACUAAGCUAUGCACUUUCUAACUAUGCAAGCUUGCUCGAGUUACUUAACUUAGCUGGGCCUCAUUUUCUUAUUUAUUACAUGAGCCAUGAUAUCUAUCUCUCAGAGUUUGAAACUUAAAGAUAUCAUUUAAAAAUCUAAAACUGGUAGAUGUCCAAUAAAUGACAGCAGUUGUGAUUAGUUUUACAUCAUUAUUUGAUCAUUUGCAAUUAUGCACAGGGCUGGUUUAGGGGUACAUGGUAUUGUUCCCUUAGUGGAUUUGCAACUAUUAUAGUUAAGGGAUGCAAUUUCUAUAGCUACCAAAAUUCACAAGUUCUUUCAUGGAUAGGGCCUCUUAGCACUGUGGGGGAGCGCACUUUUAAACUGAAGUCACAAGGUGAUGACUUGAACAAAGUAAUUGCCUUUGUGUCUGGGGCUAGGGUAUAAGAAUUGCAAGGGGGCAAAUCUGCCUUGCUAAAGUUUUUGAUAAUUAGUAUAUUGACAGGUUGAUUGGCAAAGUUAGUUAGUGAUGUGGGUUUCCUUCUUCGUAUUUGAAUUAAAAUGCAGUUUAAAUGUCAUCCAAACUAAAUUCUUAAAAAGAGAACAAGUAGCAAUGAUCUUAUUUUGGCACAUUAUAAUUAUAUCUUUCGUAUUACUCCUUCAUUUCAAUCUUCUUUCAGAUAGAAAAGUAUAAUUUAUAAGUUUUCCUUAUUAUAAAUGACGAUAUAGUUAUUGCAGAGAAAGAAAAAACUUGAAUCAAGGAAUUAGCCAACUUACAUUCCAAAUAAAACUUAAUUAUUUCUAGUUUGUUAUACAACUAUCUUACUGCUCCUUUCAUGGUAGCUCUGAGAGCAAUGGUGUAAAUAGAAAAUAAACAGUGUGUGAGCAAAUGGUGUGAGGUCCUGCCUAGAGUCUUUUAACACAUGAGAUAUAUUGUUGUCACAUGCCACAAUCUUGCAGGAAAAAUCGAUAUAAUCUACUCUUGAAACUUACAUUUCUUACAACCCAAAUCAAAGAGGGUAUAUGUGAUGUGAUCUUAUUCUAACGUGGCAAAGUGAAGAUUUGGGAGCAAGCCUCAGAGUAAGAUGUCUUCAGUGUUGGGUGACAGGGCUUUUUAAAAAAUCCUAAUUCUUGAAAUUUAAUUCAUUUAACAUUGAGUACCUACCAUGAACCAGGCAAUAUGCUGACUAGGUCUGAGGUGGGGUUGUGUAAAACAGAGUUGGACAGGACAUGACCCUGGUUAUCAGCUGACUUUCAGUCUAGUAAAAGAUACGAGCCUUGUGUUUUAAUAAUGAUUUAUUUAUCACUGUAUUUCAAGUUGUGUGUUACAUGUUUCUUCAUGUAUUUUUUUCAUAUCUAAGGGGAUCUUCAAAACAAUCCCAAUUAGUGGUUAUUGCCCAUAUGUUGUGGGUAAGGAGAAUGAAGCCCAUGUAUCUAAUGUUUGAUGCCAAAGGUCACAAAUCAAGUAAAUGACAGAGCUGAAAUUUGACUCCUGGCCUUAAUGUUCUAAGUACAAAUGCUAUUUUCACUUUACCCCAGCUUCUUGCCUAUAUUUCAUAUGUGAAAUGUUAUAAGAGAAUGACAAUGCAAUGUAAGAGUUCAGAGGAAGUAAGCAAAUCUCUAGUCAGAAAUUUUGGCCAUGCUUCCUGGAAGAGGGAACAUUUUAACUGAGACGUGAGGGAUAGUCAUAAUUUCAACAGAUAGGUGUACAACGGAACAGAGGAGAGAGGAUAGAUCUGUCAGCUAGGGGAUAUCAAAUAUGGCAGUUAAAUUUGGAGCACAGAGACAUGGAGGAUGACAGCGCCAUUAAGCAUAAUGGGAAACUCAACCAGGAAAAUGCUUGGGACAAUUGUAUUUACCAGGACUGCUGAAUUGGUGAUAAUCUUGUCAUCCAUUUAAAAUAUUUUAUUAUUUAAAAAUAAUUUUAAAACCUAUAUUAGUAAAUCUGUGCCAGAACCUGAAGCAUGGAGCUGGAAAACAAAUGACUAGGUAGACUUGAGGGAGAGAAGCAUUCAGAUAACUGAAGGAAGAAAACUCCAGAAAAGGGAAAAACGACUUCAAAGACACUGGCGUGAGAAUGUGCCUAGAGCAUUCAAAGAAAUUUAGGUGGCCAGUGAAACUGGAGUAGAGUGAAAGAGCAGAGUAGUAGGAGAUGAGUUCACAAAGGUAACUGGGGGUGAAGAGGGAGGGCUGGUGGUGGGCAGAUCAUAAAAAGUCAUUUGGCUUUGGCUUUAACUGAGGAUGGGUGUUUUGAGAAGAGGAAUAACUUGAUCCGACUUGAGAUUUAUCAGGAUCACUGUGACUUCUGUGUUUAGAAUAGACAGAAGGAGAGAAAUGGCUGGCACCAGGAGUCCAGAUGGGAGGCUAUUAUAAUAAUCUGGGCAAGAAGUGAUGGUGGCUUGGAUAAAGAUAUUGUCAAAAGGAAUAGUGAUAAGUGGAUGAAUUGCAGAUUUAUUUUGAAGGUAGAGCCAGCAGAAUUUCCUGUCUGACUGGAUGUGAGGAGUGAGAGAAAGAGAGGACUCAAAGAUAACUCCAAGUUUUAUGGCCUGAGCAACUGGAAGGAUGUUGCCAUCUACUGAGAUGGAGAAGACAGUGAGUGGAGCAGGUUUUGGCAGAGAAGGAGGAGAUCACAAUCUUGCCUUGGGGCAUGUGGUAAAUUGUGUUAGGCAUAUGAGUGUUGAGUUCAGGGUAAAGGUCUGUGCUACAGACACAAAGAUGGGAGUCAUUGGCAUAGAGAUGGUAUCUAAAGCCAUGUGAAUGAGUGAGAUAACCUACAGAAUAAGUAUUGAUAAAGAAGAAAUUUAAGUUUUGAUCCCUAGAGAUCUUUAUCAUUUACAAAUCAGAGAAAAGAGGAGAAACCAGCAAAGAAGACCGAGAAGGGCAAGAAAAAUAAGGAAACAAGACGAGUACAUUGUCCUGGAGCCCAAGUGAAGAAAGUUUUCUAAGGAGGAGGGAAUAAGCAAUUGUGUCAAAUGCUGUACAGAGGUUGAAUAAUAUGAGGACUGAAAGUUAAAAUCACAUUUAGCAAUAUGGAUCUUAUUAGUGACACUAAUAAAAAACAGUUUAGAUGGACCAGUAAGGGUAGAAUUCUGAUUGGAGUAAUUUUAUUGGAGAGUGGGUAGAGAGCAAAAGGAACUAGAGUCAAGAAAGGUUUUUUAUGUUUUUUUUUAAUUUGUUGAUUGAUAAUAUGGGAAGUAAGAGUGUAUACUGAUGUGAAUAAUGCAGUGGAGAGGCAAAA